UACGUAGGGGGCUAGCGUUGUCCGGAUUUAUUGGGCGUAAAGAGCUCGUAGGCGGCUUGUCGCGUCGUCUGUGAAAUCCCGCGGCUCAACCGCGGGUCUGCAGUCGAUACGGGCAGGCUAGAGUUCGGUAGGGGAGACUGGAAUUCCUGGUGUAGCGGUGAAAUGCGCAGAUAUCAGGAGGAACACCGGUGGCGAAGGCGGGUCUCUGGGCCGAUACUGACGCUGAGGAGCGAAAGCGUGGGGAGCGAACAGG
rnacentral:rRNA from 1 species